GUUGCGCCCUUGUGUGAAAAAUUCCCUAUCCUGUUCAGCAUAUGUCAGGAUCAGGAUGGGACUAUUGCUGAUUUUGUGGCAAAAAACUACAAGCUGGGCUUCAGGCGCAGGUUGUUUGGGGAGGUUAAUGAUCAGUGGGAGUGGGUGGUAUCUGAGGCAAAAAAAUAUGCUUUAAACACUACCCCUGAGACUGUGUUUUGGAAUCUCUGCAAGAACAAAAGAUUUACCACUAAAUCUGUGUAUGAAUGGUUGGAGAGGGAUUUAGCUGGUCCUAACUAUAAGUGGAUCUGGAAAGCUAGUAUCCCAUUGAAAAUCAAAAUAUUUCUGUGGCAGCUAUUUCAAAAUGCUCUGCUUACUCGGGAUAAUUUGCGGAAGAGGAAUUGG
rnacentral:rRNA from 1 species